rnacentral:rRNA from 1 species
GAGGAGCUUGCUUCUCUUGAGAGCGGCGGACGGGUGAGUAAUGCCUAGGAAUCUGCCUAGUGGUGGGGGAUAACGUUCGGAAACGGACGCUAAUACCGCAUACGUCCUACGGGAGAAAGCGGGGGACCUUCGGGCCUCGCGCCAUUAGAUGAGCCUAGGUCGGAUUAGCUAGUUGGUGAGGUAAAGGCUCACCAAGGCGACGAUCCGUAACUGGUCUGAGAGGAUGAUCAGUCACACUGGAACUGAGACACGGUCCAGACUCCUACGGGAGGCAGCAGUGGGGAAUAUUGGACAAUGGGGGAAACCCUGAUCCAGCCAUGCCGCGUGUGUGAAGAAGGUCUUCGGAUUGUAAAGCACUUUAAGUUGGGAGGAAGGGUAGUAACUUAAUACGUUGCUACUUUGACGUUACCGACAGAAUAAGCACCGGCUAACUCUGUGCCAGCAGCCGCGGUAAUACAGAGGGUGCAAGCGUUAAUCGGAAUUACUGGGCGUAAAGCGCGCGUAGGUGGUUUGUUAAGUUGGAUGUGAAAGCCCCGGGCUCAACCUGGGAACUGCAUCCAAAACUGGCAAGCUAGAGUACGGUAGAGGGUGGUGGAAUUUCCUGUGUAGCGGUGAAAUGCGUAGAUAUAGGAAGGAACACCAGUGGCGAAGGCGACCACCUGGACUGAUACUGACACUGAGGUGCGAAAGCGUGGGGAGCAAACAGGAUUAGAUACCCUGGUAGUCCACGCCGUAAACGA